UGGGAGUAAAAGUCGUAACAAGGUCUCCGUUGGUGAACCAGCGGAGGGAUCAUUACCGAGUUUACAACUCCCAAACCCAAUGUGAACGUUACCAAACUGUUGCCUCGGCGGGGUCACGCCCCGGGUGCGUCGCAGCCCCGGAACCAGGCGCCCGCCGGAGGAACCAACCAAACUCUUUCUGUAGUCCCCUCGCGGACGUAUUUCUUACAGCUCUGAGCAAAAAUUCAAAAUGAAUCAAAACUUUCAACAACGGAUCUCUUGGUUCUGGCAUCGAUGAAGAACGCAGCGAAAUGCGAUAAGUAAUGUGAAUUGCAGAAUUCAGUGAAUCAUCGAAUCUUUGAACGCACAUUGCGCCCGCCAGUAUUCUGGCGGGCAUGCCUGUCCGAGCGUCAUUUCAACCCUCGAACCCCUCCGGGGGAUCGGCGUUGGGGAUCGGGACCCCUCACACGGGUGCCGGCCCCUAAAUACAGUGGCGGUCUCGCCGCAGCCUCUCCUGCGCAGUAGUUUGCACAACUCGCACCGGGAGCGCGGCGCGUCCACGUCCGUAAAACACCCAACUUUCUGAAAUGUUGACCUCGGAUCAGGUAGGAAUACCCGCUGAACUUAAGCAUAUCA
rnacentral:rRNA from 1 species